rnacentral:rRNA from 1 species
UCAGCCGCCGCGGUAAAACCAGCACCUCGAGUGGUCAGGAGGUUUAUUGGGCCUAAAGCAUCCGUAGCCGGUUGCAUAAGUUUUCGGUUAAAUCUAUGCGCUUAACGUAUAGGCCGCCGAAAAUACUGUGCAGCUAGGGAGUGGGAGAGGUACACGGUACUCGAUAGGAGGGGGUAAAAUCCUUUGAUCUAUUGACGACCACCUGUGGCGAAGGCGGUGUACCAGAACACGUUCGACGGUGAGGGAUGAAAGCUGGGGGAGCAAACCGGAUUAGAUACCCGGGUAGUCCCAGCUGUAAACGAUGCAGACUCGGUGAUGCAUUGGCUUGUGGCCAAUGCAGUGCCGCAGGGAAGCCGUUAAGUCUGCCGCCUGGGAAGUACGUACGCAAGUAUGAAACUUAAAGGAAUUGGCGGGGGAGCACA